AUUUUGAGAUACAUAAUCGAUACGAGCGAUAAAUGGAGGAAGCCCACUCACUAUUGCAGUAGUCUAUGGUCAACUAGUUCUUUCUUCUUUUUCUUUCCCGCGCAAAAUUCUGCAACUCUGCAAUUUGUUUUUGUAAUGACAGCUGAUUGUUUUUCAUAAUUUUAGUCAGGGGUUUUCUGUUGGUUUGUCAAUUAAAACUUUUGUUUAAAUAAUGAAUGUGACUGUUACAACAUUUAUUAAUCCGUGGUCCUUUUUCUGCAUAAAAGAAGAAGAUAAGAAGUCUAAUGAUUUAUUCGAAAAUCCAGUUGAAACUCAACAUGUGAAUGGCAGUCUUACAGGUCUUUCAGAUGUUAAAAAUGAGGAGUAUAUUGCAGUGAUGUGGAAGGAUAAAUGGGUUCGUGGAGUAGUUAAAGUAGAUACUCAGUUUCUAAUCUGGCUUAUUGAUUAUGGCAUUUAUAUAUGGCCCAAUGAGAAGACAGUGCAUGUGAAACUACCCCCUGAACACAUGAAUUAUCCAACCAAAGUAUUUGAAGCCAGCAUACAUGGAGUUACUCCUAUGGAUAAAGUAGGACCUGACUUACGACUGUGAAAUAAAAAAUUGUGUUACCAAUGAGUGGACUGCUGGGUCAAUAGAAAAAGCACGGUCAUUGAUAACAAGUGCUGAUCAUGUGUACUUCUUGCCUAUUGCUCUCUUGACAACUAAAGACAAUGAUGUUGUACUGGGGGAUUUAUAUCUAGACUUAAAAGGCAAAGGCAUAGUGAACAUCAUUGAUGAGUUGGAAUUGUGGCCAGUUUUCUUACAAAAAAAUAAGGCUGUGUACAUUGAAAGUAAUUAUCACAAUAUUUUAUUAAUACCAUGAAGCAUGUUGUUGGUGAAAGUAUAUUAUUAUAUUUUUAUUUGUGUAAUAUUUUACAGACCUUUCCAUCAAUUACACAAGUCAUCGCAAGCAUUUGGGUUGUAAAUUGAAGCCAGCUUUUGCUGACUCAGAUUUGCCCACAAUGAGUUUGAAUACCACCUAUGAGGAAUACAGCGACAUCUGUGCCGGCGCGCCGCAGUUAGAGACGGUUGAGGAGUGCCACUCUAGUUCGGGAGAGGGCAGCACUGUCCUGGAAUAUGGAAUUGCCAGAGAACCCAUGUACACAUUGUCGCCCUCUGAUAUGGAAAAAUAUUCUCAUAUGUAUAUUACUGUUUGUGGCCGGGAGUACAAUGUUCUGAAUGUGCUCACGAACAAAAUGAGAGAUCUUAACAUGUGUGAGCAAUACAAAGACCACGACUUGAAACGUGUAGGGCGGGCUUCUUCAAGACAUUCUCUCAAACUUAUUAAUCAAAACUUCGUACUUGAUGAUAUUCUAUAAAUUUUUUUUAUAAUAAUAAGGAGUAAUGUUGAUCAUGCAUCUGACUUUUUUCUAAAUUUAAUUAUUCUAGAUUUAUCACCUAGUCUAGGUCUAGUUAAAAACAAGUUUUGUAAUCAAUAUUACAAUGUUUGUACUUAUUACUUAAUAAGCCUAACUAAUUGUAUUAAUUAAUAUCACUUUCCUUAACUAGCCACAUGACUGAUAUUUGUUCUAACUAGGCAAGUUCCUAUUUUUGUUUUUGACUUCAUAGAAUAAUAUUUUUGUGUUGUUUUUGUUAUAAGGAAGCCAUCAUUUUUAUGUUUAUGUUAAGUUUGCACGACUAUUUUUUAUUUUGUGUGUUUAGCUUUAUAAUGAAAGGAGGCACUUAUGCCAAAUCUUUGCCUGACUAGUAUUUAAGUAGGUACUUUCUUUAUGUAAUCUUUAAGAUACUUAAAACGAGUGAUAUUAUAAUUGUUAUAAUACCUACCAUAUAAUAGGUAUGUAGAACAGUAUAUUUAUGCUCUCUAGCCUUUUUGCAAAGUUAGUAAAGUUUAGAUACCAUUACAGCUUUUGUGUGCUAUAAAAAUUCUCCUUAGCAUCAAGGACUAAUUAAAAUAAAAAUGUAUACCCCACCAUCGAUAUCAAAUAUCAUAAUAUAAUCCCAGUUACUUUUGAAACAUAUUAUUAAGCUGAUUUUGUGCCUAACGUGCCUCGGUAAAAAAAUAUUUACACUGUAUCAUGUCAACUUGUGAUUUUCUCUAAUUAAUAACAUACGAAUUUAUGCUUAGAUUUCGUAUCAGUAGAUUCUACAUAAAACAAAGAAAUUGUGUUGUGAUUUAAAAUGUAGAUUAUACAUAGGUGCCAUUAAAAUAUUAUCGUUUUACUAGUUUUGAGAGUAAUAAAACAUAGUUGAUGAUUUUUAUUGUUUUUAAUUUUAUUAUUUUAUAUACAAGUAGAAAUUCUUCCCUUAGGUAAAUAAACCUAAUUAAGUUACAUAUUAAGUCUUAAAUAACUAUUCUGUACACUCUGUUGUACGACGGAAUAAAGGCAGUGUUGAUGGAAGGCUAUCCCAAAAGCGAGUUUAUGGCAAAUUUUUGUGAUGUAUACCGACGAAUAAAUACUGUGUUGGAGUGUGAUGAGGGUAUGCUUAUUGCAGAAGUAGAUAUCUAAUUUGUACCUUAUUUUAUCUAUGAGGAGAAAUUAAAAGUCUACUACAUCAUAAUGAUAUCGGAUA